rnacentral:rRNA from 1 species
UACGAAGGGGGGCUAGCGUUGUUCGGAUUUACUGGGCGUAAAGCGCACGUAGGCGGAUCGUUAAGUCAGGGGUGAAAUCCUGGGGCUCAACCCCAGAACUGCCUUUGAUACUGGCGAUCUCGAGUCCGGAAGAGGUGAGUGGAACUCCUAGUGUAGAGGUGGAAUUCGUAGAUAUUAGGAAGAACACCAGUGGCGAAGGCGGCUCACUGGUCCGGUACUGACGCUGAGGUGCGAAAAGCUAGGGGGAGCAAACGGG